GCGCAGGCGCCGAAGCCACACCGCGAAGUACCGUUUUUUCAGGCACAAGGAAGGUUUCACCCCGUUGCCGAAAGACUAAGCGUCCCGUUGGCCAGUGCAACGAAGAACGGAGGAAGCGACGUAAGACACCGCGUAUUCGUAGGCCUUCCGCUGCGGGGAGGAGCACAGGGCCUAGCGGCAGCAAAGCGACGCCCGAGCGCGUCUCGUCUCCCGCUGUCGAUGCAGAGCAUUCUGGGAGUUGUGGUUCGGGCGUGUCGCGGAGCCCGGAUGUAAUUUCGGCUCGGGGCGUGGCGGCCAUUUUGUCUCCCCAUGUUGGGAGACGAUAUCCCAGCCGCGGUGGUGCUGCCGCUUUCGUGUGACUUUGGGUUUCCCGAGCGAGCCCGCAGCUGCACAGCAGUCCGCCUUCCCGUACCCGAGAGAAGCCGCCUCAGACCCCAGCCAGCGGGCACCCCCGGAGGCCCCGAGCCUGGCUGCAGGCCCUAGACCUGCACCAGGGGCCCAACCAGUUACCCGUAGCAUGGGCCACGUUCUCCCGCUGUAGACCGGGCUGAGGCCCGACGGCCACCCCUGGGGGAGGAGUUUUCUUAGCUUCCGGUAGGGCAGCCAGGCCGGGGUCCCACCAGACCCAGGACGUGAUACCGGUGAAGCGGCACAUACAGGAACAAGGCAGGAGGAAAAUAAUAAGCACCUUAAAGUUUCCACUUUUCGGUACCGUACUUCCUGUUAAUGUUUCUAAGCCCGUGAUUCUGGGCCUGAUAAUCAGCCAGCCGUCCUCACAGCAGAGUUGUAAGACGCUGGGCUGCUCAAGCACAAGUUCAUAUCUAGACCCACCGCUGGCGAGCAGCCCUGGACGUCCCGCUUAGCUGUCCUAACCAACUCAGGUGGCCUUGAUCCGCAACAGGACGCGGUACCACGUAAUGAACUGUCCAUUUGAGUGCAAGGAUUUAUAUUUGUUAUUACGAUUUGGGGGUGUUUUUAAGAGGCAGGGUUUUGCCCAGGCUGUUCUCGAAUUUGGGGCUCAAGCGAUCCUCCGACCUCAGCCUCCCAAGUAGCUGGGACUACCCGUGCAUGACACCCUAUCUGGCCCUUGUUUUUUGUUGUUGUUGUUGUUCUUUCUUUUUUCACGUGGUUUCGCACUUGUCACCCAGGCUGGAGUGCAAUGGUGUGUUGUCGGCUCACUGCAACCUGUCUCUCAGGUUGAAGUGAUUCUCGUGUCUCAGUCUUCCGAGUAGCUGGGAUUACAGGCGUGUGCCACCACGCCUGGCUAAUUUUUGUAUUUUUAGUAA
rnacentral:lncRNA from 10 species